rnacentral:rRNA from 1 species
GACGAACGCUGGCGGCGUGCCUAAUACAUGCAAGUAGAACGCGGAAGGAGGAGCUUGCUCUUCUGGAUGAGUUGCGAAAGGGUGAGUAACGCGUAGGUAACCUGCCUGGUAGCGGGGGACAACUAUUGGAAACGAUAGCUAAUACCGCAUAAGAGUAGAUGUUGCUUGACAUUUACUUAAAAGGUGCAAUUGCAUCACUACUAGAUGGACCUGCGUUGUAUUAGCUAGUUGGUGGGGUAACGGCUUACCAAGGCGACGAUACAUAGCCGACCUGAGAGGGUGAUCGGCCACGCUGGGACUGAGACACGGCCCAGAAUCCUACGGGAGGCAGCAGUAGGGAAUCUUCGGCAAUGGACGGAAGUCUGACCGAACAACGCCGCGUGAGUGGAGAAGGUUUUCGGAUCGUAAAGCUCUGUUGUCAGAGAAGAACGAGUGUGAGAGUGGAAAGUUCACACUGUGACGGUAUCUUACCAGAAAGAGACGGCUAACUACGUG